rnacentral:rRNA from 1 species
GAUGAACGCUGGCGGCGUGCCUAAUACAUGCAAGUCGAGCGAACGGACGAGAAGCUUGCUUCUCUGAUGUUAGCGGCGGACGGGUGAGUAACACGUGGAUAACCUACCUAUAAGACUGGGAUAACUUCGGGAAACCGUAGCUAAUACCGGAUAAUAUUUUGAACCGCAUGGUUCAAAAGUGAAAGACGGUCUUGCUGUCACUUAUCGAUGGAUCCGCGCUGCAUUAGCUAGUUGGUAAGGUAACGGCUUACCAAGGCAACGAUGCAUAGCCGACCUGAGAGGGUGAUCGGCCACACUGGAACUGAGACACGGUCCAGACUCCUACGGGAGGCAGCAGUAGGGAAUCUUCCGCAAUGGGCGAAAGCCUGACGGAGCAACGCCGCGUGAGUGAUGAAGGUCUUCGGAUCGUAAAACUCUGUUAUUAGGGAAGAACAUAUGUGUAAGUAACUGUGCACAUCUUGACGGUACCUAAUCAGAAAGCCACGGCUAACUACGUGCCAGCAGCCGCGGUAAUACGUAGGUGGCAAGCGUUAUCCGGAAUUAUUGGGCGUAAAGCGCGCGUAGGCGGUUUUUUAAGUCUGAUGUGAAAGCCCACGGCUCAACCCGUGGAGGGUCAUUGGAAACUGGAAAACUUGAGUGCAGAAGAGGAAAGUGGAAUUCCAUGUGUAGCGGUGAAAUGCGCAGAGAUAUGGAGGAACACCAGUGGCGAAGGCGACUUUCUGGUCUGUAACUGACGCUGAUGUGCGAAAACGUGGGGAUCAAACAGGAUUAGAUACCCUGGUAGUCCACGCCGUAAACGAUGAGUGCUAAGUGUUAGGGGGUUUCCGCCCCUUAGUGCUGCAGCUAACGCAUUAAGCACUCCGCCUGGGGAGUGCGACCGCAAGGUUGAAACUCAAAGGAAUUGACGGGGAUCCGCACAAGCGGUGGAGCAUGUGGUUUAAUUCGAAGCAACGCGAAGAACCUUACCAAAUCUUGACAUCCUUAGACAACUCUAGAGAUAGAGCCUUCCCCUUCGGGGGACAAAGUGACAGGUGGUGCAUGGUUGUCGUCAGCUCGUGUCGUGAGAUGUUGGGUUAAGUCCCGCAACGAGCGCAACCCUUAAGCUUAGUUGCCAUCAUUAAGUUGGGCACUCUAAGUUGACUGCCGGUGACAAACCGGAGGAAGGUGGGGAUGACGUCAAAUCAUCAUGCCCCUUAUGAUUUGGGCUACACACGUGCUACAAUGGACAAUACAAAGGGCAGCGAAACCGCGAGGUCAAGCAAAUCCCAUAAAGUUGUUCUCAGUUCGGAUUGUAGUCUGCAACUCGACUACAUGAAGCUGGAAUCGCUAGUAAUCGUAGAUCAGCAUGCUACGGUGAAUACGUUCCCGGGUCU